GCGGCGGAGUGGACCGUACCAAGUUCUCUUUGCGCGCUCCGAUCUCGCCUGCGCUUCUGGGGCCCGUGCGCGAGCAACCGGAACGAGCGAGAGCUGUGACGUGUGGUCGCGACCAGGAGAGCAGCGGGAAAGGGCUGAAGCCCGCCACUUGCUAGUCGCCGUUGUAGAAUCACCACCCUAAACUCCUCCAAGACUCCGGCUCUCAAUGUGCCUGGAAGAUGGGGCGUUCCGCGGGCCGAGCCAUUUGGACGGGGGGCAGGAGCGAGCAAGGGCCAGACUUUAUGUCAGGCAUGAAAGAAAUAAAAUGUGUAAGCGCCUCAUUCCAGGGAUAGCUACGACACGGUAAGAAGUUAAGUGCUUCUCGGAAAAAAAUAGCGGUGCAGAAAACAGAUAUAGGUCUUCCCAGGUUACCUCCCCCCAACGCAGGUUGUGUAGGAGUGAGUUUGUUCCCGUGGCUACCGCCGAUUGGUUGCGAUAAAGUUACGCGGACCAAUGAGAAAAGAAAGGAAAAAUUUCUGGCCUAUAGGGAAAGAAAAGCAGGUGAGUGGUUGCUAGGGUCUGUAGGCAGAGUGGCCCCGGACUGGGUGCCAAGGCAGCUGGAUGCCAGCUGAGAAAGCGCAGUCCAUAGGCCGGGGAUCCCUAUCCCGCCUGGGGGGAUGCUUACGGGGCCCGCAAAAGGAGCAGUGCUUGCGUGUCCGGACUGACAUAAAACAGAACGCCAGUUAUUUCUAGGUUGGGGUGGAGAGUUCUGUGCGAAGGCGUUGACUUUUCAACACCCCAAAAGCUCAGUCGGCGUGCGUGUUCAUCCCUGGGAGAUAGCCAGACCCUUUGUUCUGAGCUGAUUCUGUCUGUUAGGGCUCACACAAGCAGUAUAGUCGCGUACAGAAUGGAAACUGAAAGCGGACACCUCAUUACCCAGGUUUAUCAGCUAGAGGGUGCUCCUCCCAUUUUUAACUCGGACUCACUCGGAAUUCAGAGGCCUAAGGGGGGGGGGGAUCAAAUAUAAGAAUUCAUGAAGAUCAACUGGAGGAAUUUAUACUGUGGGAGUCACAACACGGACAGUGAAUACAGAACCGGAGGUGACUGUGUUGUUAAAAUAUAACACAGGGGCUUUCAGAAUUGUCAUUACUGAUAGAGCACUUAAGAAAAAUACAUAAAAUGGCUUUCCUUCAGUACAACGGAAUUAAACAUCUUGUCUGUCAAAAAAGAAAGAAAACUGAUUCUAGACGACUUUAAGGCAGUGGCUGGCUCUCAACCUGUGAGUCGUAAGCCCUUUGGGAAUCAAACCGUUACACAGGGGUCACAAAUGAGAUAUCCUGCAUAUCAGACGUUUACUUACAAUUCAUAACUAGCAAAAUUACAGUUAUGAAGUAGCAACGAAGUAAUUAUGGUUGGGGAUCACAACAGGAGGAACUGUAUUAAAGGGUAGCAGUGUCAGUGCCUGUCUGCCCCUCAGCCCUGUGCUCUUGGUCUCAGCCAUCUUCACCACCACCUGUUGUCUUUAACAGUUAACAUCCCGAGAUGGCUCCCCUUUCCUUCCUCCAUAAGGCUAGCUAUGAACUUCUACUGGCUACCUUUAACCCUACACACUCAUCCUCCCCCAUUCUUGAAAAUCUCCUACAUUUUGUGGCAAUCCCUCCUCUCCCCCAGGUAUAUAUCUGUCUUACUUCCUCUGUCUGUUUUUAUUUAAGUUCUGUGUCCAUGUUGGCCUUUUUUCUUGCCACAUUUCCUCUGAUCCUAUGGCUUCAACUUCCCUGGCCCCAAGAUGUCGAGGGAGGGCUCCCUUGUCUGGUCUUCAGUUCAGGUCUACUCAACCUCUGAAAUCAUGUAGUGAGCAGAGCAUAGUGGCCCACUCCUACAAUCCCAGAAAAUUGGGAGACUGAGGCAGGAAGAGCAUCAUAAAUCUGAGGCCAGCGUACAGCUAUAGAGUGAGAUCCUAUC
rnacentral:lncRNA from 1 species